GGAAGAAAAUGGGCUGGAGAAUGGAUGUUGAGAUCAAAGCAUUUGUGCUUCAGGAUACAAACUUGGAUUCCAUUCCUAGUUCUUUAACAAACGUGUGUAACAAUCAGUAAGUCACUUCUCUGGAAUACAGGUUACUUAUGUGUAUAAAGUAAGUUGGAAAGAAGUAGCAGGUUUCAACAUGUGCUCUAUAAAAGUUGGAUUUCUUGGUCAAAUAAGUUUGGUAAAUGUUGCAUUCCAUAUCUCCCUGUCUGAAAUUCUCACAAGGGCCUGAACUCAUUAAAGCCCCUAAAAGUCUUGUAGUAAAAACAUCUAGUUAUUUUUUUACCGAGUUUUUACAAGUCUAUUUAAUCAUGUUACUCUUUCAAUAACAGCCUUGUAGAACUGCUAUUCAAUGGACCAAACUUUAGAAAAACUGGACUAGGGAAUAAUUGAUUUCUUCCAUGUUUACACUCCAUUUCAUGAACUUUGGUGAUAAGGAAACUGCAUAUUAACUUUAUUAGAAAAUCUAAUCAAUUAACUGUUUUCUUCUGAGUCUCCUAGGGGUAAUGACUAAGGGAGGGAGAAUACUGAGCUAUUAAUUUCUUCUAUAUGUCUGUGACACAAGGGUCACAGAAAGAAAAUUAAAUUUGGUUCACUAGAGCAAAGUAAAUCCAGGCAUUUUUAUUGUUUGUGACACGAGAAUACUUAUAGAAGAUCAUAAAUGUUUGACUGUAUCUAUAUCAAAAUAAACAAUAAUAAAAAAGUUCUGAAUUACUAAAUCUGUAGUUUAUUCUUAAUUAAACUUUUUAUUCUCCUUUCAUGCAAAUAAAAUAUAGCUAGUAUUUGUAGAAAGGUUAAUACAUAAAAAUGCAAAAGUAGUUUUUCAGAGAAUUGUUGUCACUUAUUGGAGAUAGGGAGCACAUUUAUUAGAGUAAAAUAGGGAAUUUUUUUACUUUUACUUGAAUACACUGUCCUGUAGGUUUUUCAGUAUAAUUGGCCCUAUGACUUGCCUCAAAUAUUACGAUUAAUGAAAUUAUCCAUUCAUUGAUGGUCAUGUUUUGAGUAUUAGCUUUUAUGCCCAUGGAUAAAAUAAAUCACCCAAGGAAUGACCAUUCUCCCUGCAGGACUGCAAUCCAGGCUUCAUUUGACAGAAUGUGGCUAUGGCUCCCUGGAUAGUGGAGAAGUUGCUGAGAUGCUGUGCUGGCAGAACUUGCUAGAAAUCUGCCCUCUGGAGUGCUAGGCGAUGUCAUUCACAGAAAUGUCCCCCACCUCUGGAAUCACAUGCCCGCUAACUGAGAAGGUCUGGGGAAAGAAUUACAGGGGGAGACAGUUUACUAGAAGCACUUCCUAAAAAGCUAUCUGAAGGGUGCCAGAGGAAACUGCUUGGUUAUUGGGUACUGAUAACCAAUGUACCCUGUAGGAGCCAAGCACUGAAGAAGUUGUUCCUUGCAAGAGCAACACUCUGAGAUAACAUAUGCAACAGAAAGUUUGGUGCUGGAAAAUUAUUUGCUGCAGGAGCCUGGUAAGGGAGCACCAGAAUGAAGAGGAGAAAAGUCUUUUCUCCUGAAAUGUCUCUCCAGUGCCCUCUAAUGACCAAGCUUAACAUCAUGCCAGCUGGCAAAUGAUCUAAAGAGUCCAAAUCCAUCUUCACAGCAGGAAAUGAAGGAUGAAUUUGGAACUGGAAGACAAUACAUUGAUAACGGGUGAGCAUACUCAUUAGAAUUUUGGCAGGCAUAGUCCCUGAAUUAAGAGUGUGUAGAUAUGUUUGCAUAAUUUAAGCCCUAUUUUAAAAUUUAUAUGCAGAAUUCUGUAAUAGCCCCCAAGGUUCCUAUUACCUGAGUACACACCUUAUAGAAUCUCCUCCUGUUGAGAGCAGUGAGAACCUGAAAAUAUGAUUGGAUCACACGCUUGUGACUCUCGGGAUUAUGUUACACAUCUUUUGACUUUGAGAUGUUUAUCAAAAGGGAGAUCAUCUUGGAUAGGACUAACUUGAUCAUGUAGGUGAGUCCUUUAUGAGAAAAAGCAAGACAUGAGAGAGCUGCUGUUUAGUUGUUCUAGAAGUUGUCACAGGUCUGCUGUGAUGGGACUCAUGGAGGAGGUCAUCUAGCAGAGUGGUCUAGAGGCUGAGACUGAUCCCCACCCAACCACUACCAAAAAAUGGGAUCUUCAAUCAUAUGCCCUCAAGGAAAUUAAUUCUGACAGUAACCUGUGAGCUUAGAAGAGGACCCCAAGCUCAGAUGAGAUUGCAGUUCCUGCCAUCUUCUCAAUUCUAACUUUAUGAGUCCCUGAGCAAAGAAUCCAGGCAUGCUAUGCCUGCACUUAUGCCUGCAGAAAAUGUGAGAUAAUGCAUCAGUGCAUUAUUAACUGUGAAGUUUGUGGUAAUUUGUUAUAAAGCAAAAGUAAAACAAAUACAAAUAGUAUUUUUCUUGCUUUGUCCCUACUUCUCAUCUAAAAGAAGCAUUCCUUGCUAUUUCUGCACUCCUAAGGUCAAAUUUUUUCAUUGUCUCUCAAUUAAUUUCUUAUGGCAAAUAAUUAAAAUGUUGCCUAAUAAAUUUUUAAAAUGAUAAAACACUUCCAAGAACUAAUAGCUACUUUUAAAGUAUGUCAGUGGCAGAGCUUUUGCUUGAGUGUUCCUGAUAAUGAAAUAAUAAAAGCUGGCAUUUAUUGGUAACACACAUGGCGUGUGAGACAAAUACUUUACCAGGAAUUAUAUAUUUAUCAUUUUGAAUUUUUCUAAUGGAUUCUAUGAGUUAGACUGUACUUUCUUCCUGAAAUUUUACAACAUUAAAUGGCCUGCCCAAAAUACAACAAAGAGUGAUUGAUUAAGCCAUCAUCACAUCCAGGAUUGCCAGUGUGAAUCCCAAUUUAACUGCACAAUACAAAACUGCCUCAAACUGAAGUGACUGUGGUUUGAAUUGACUGAUAAUAACAAAUUUUGAUUCUAGCACUAAUGUUUACAACUUUUUUUUGCAGACUUUUUACAGUAAUGCUAUGUUUGGAGUCACAUGGUAGGAACAUAUAAUGUUAAAAGCAUGAUUUAAAAUAUAUUUUAGUAACUAUGGCAGGUACUACUAGUUAUCUAGAACAUUCAUUCUUUCUUCCUCCUAGUUAGAUGGAUUUGUCUGAGGAUGUGAUCACCCACCGACUCUCUACAUUUCCUUAGUGAUGCUACUAGUAAAAUUAAAGCCAAGCAAUUAAACCCUACCUAAUGAUAUGUCAGCAGAAGUGAUGCAUAUGAAUUCAUAGUCACAUUCUUAAAAAGAAGCAACUUGUGACUCUCCUUCAGCUCUUUCUUUUUUUAACUACUUCAGGUAAUUAAAUAUAAUUUAAUAAUGGGGGGUGAGGGCCAAUUUUUCUAGAAUUAACUUCAAGAUGUUUUUCCCUAUUUCCUUCAAGAUCCAAUGCAUGAUAUUUAUUAAGUAUGGUCUGAGACAAGAACAAAUUCCAAAACUAAUCAGAUAGAGCAUAGUAUAUUCAGUGUAUUGUGGAGUUAUGGGUAAGUUAAACAUUGAGAGACCUGGGGAGUCGAAUGGAUGCAUCCUGAAGGUGAAUGGGAAUUUAAAAUGUGUGUGUUUUCUACUCUUCUAUCAUAAAAAUAAGUAUUUUAAGGUUUCUCCAGUAAUAGUAAAGCAGGACUAAUAUACGAAGUUUGUACUAUUCAUAAAUGCAAUUAUCUGAAAAAAAUGUAGGCAACAGUUUCUUAAUAUGUUUAUUUUUUUAUAUGAAACAGGAAUUUUACAAAAAGGGGUAAUAACCGUUUGCUACGUGGUAAGGUUUGGGGGUGAAGGACAAAAUAUUUUGAAACUCUGUGAAAGGUAAGGGAAUCAGAGCAGAGCUUCCCACAGCACAGUUAAGGGCAUAGUCUCUGCUUCAUUACGCUAAAAUUACACAGUCUUUCAAGACUCCAAAGCCUGCUCUGCCUCCUUCCUGCUCGGUGAGACAGCCCUUCCUACCCAGCAUUCACUGGAUGCUUUAGACAAGUAAAGGUAGAUCAAAGCAAGAGAGAGAAUAACAAGUUUGGCACAAAAUGAUUUUAGAGUCAGUUGUAUCUGGGUCAGAAUCACAUAUAGGUGAAAGAAAGAAGAUUGUUAGACCAUGUAUAAGGCCAAUUAGCAUGUAUUUUAUAUAUUCUUAACAUUUUACGCUUAUUAACCUUCUUCUCAUGGGUUCCUUUUAACUUAGUAAUGAAAAAAUGUGUGAAAUUAUGAAGACAAAAUUAUAUGCUACAAGAAGCCUUAGAGCUUAUAUAAUCCUGCCCUCCCAUUUGACUUUUAUUUUAUAGAUGAGAGAACUGAAUCCCAGGAAGGUUCAGUGGCUUAACCUUAAUUCACACAAAUAUUUAUUUAUCUAGCAAGGUCUAACAUUAAGAACAAAAGCAGGUUUUUCCUGCUCCUUCUCCCAAUAUAUGGUUUUUGAUUCAUUGCACAGAUGAUAAAUUUAAAUGAACAUUAUUUUUAUAAUAUUAUCUGGUAAAUACCACUUUCAAUACCACAGCAUUUUCGGUAUUGUUAACAACAGGAAAAAAGUGGUAGUUAGAAACAUAACAUAUCAUUUAACAUAUUCCCCUAGCUCCACACAUUUUGGCAGUUAAUGUUUCUGCACUUGUGUUCUUAGCUACCCUUACAAGUUCUGAGGGAUAAACCUUAAAAUCCUCAUUUAAAUUAGAAACAGGGGCUAUGUGAACAAAAAUAAAACCAGGAAAUAUGACUUUUUCUUUUAUGUAUAGAAGAUCAUAUGAGAUUGUCCCAUGACCUAUUUAUUCACAAAAGUUGUGCAUUCUCUGCAAUGGAGUUGCCUUUGGGCUUGGUCAAAUCUUGUUAUAUAACAGUCAUAUAUGGAAGAGGUGGUUUACAAGGAAAUAAAAGAUUAGUCAGAAUGUUAUUAAUCUAUUCCUGACUGAAUUAUUUCAGGCAGCAUAGCUAUCACUAAAUCCAAAAGUCUUCAGAGAAGUUUUAAAUGGGAUCUACUGUGCAAAGGAGUGGGGUGUGCACACACAGAAGUCAGUUGCCUUAAUCCUAUCGUAUUUAAACAGGCUUCAAUGCUCAACAUGCCAAUAUGCUUGGAAAUUCUUCAAUACCGUGACCUCUAAAAGCCCAGCUAAUUUCGCAAAAAGAGAAACAGGGGUCCUGCAUACCAAUGAAACUACUGACAUCAGCUGAUCUGAAUGACCCAACAAGAAGCUUACAUACACAAAGAAUGCAGUUUCCACAUCCUAAUGAUUUCAGUCUCCUUACCCUGACCAAUCAAUGAUUCCAAUUUGCCUGUCCCAUCCCCUCCACAAUUUUCUUAAAAACCCCAGAUCAGUAUAUUCCUUGGGGAGAUGGAUUUUGGUGUUUUCUGCCAUCUCCUUGCUUGGCUGCCCUGUGAUCAUUAAACUCUUUCUCUGCUGCAA